UCAUAAUAAUAAUAAUGUGAA
rnacentral:piRNA from 1 species